rnacentral:tRNA from 1 species
GGCCGACCUGCACCAGGUCGAGGCGAGCUCGGUCGACGCGGGCACGUUCGCGGAACUGACGGGCGGUUCGCUGUUCGCCUCCGCGUCGAUCG